rnacentral:rRNA from 1 species
UACGUAGGGGGCAAGCGUUGUCCGGAAUUACUGGGCGUAAAGGGCGCGUAGGCGGCGCAACAAGUCACUUGUGAAAUCUCCGGGCUUAACCCGGAGCGGCCAAGUGAUACUGUCGUGCUAGAGUGCGGAAGGGGCUACUGGAAUUCUCGGUGUAGCGGUGAAAUGCGUAGAUAUCGAGAGGAACACCUGCGGCGAAGGCGGGUUGCUGGGCUGACACUGACGCUGAAGCGCGAAAGCUAGGGGGAGCGAACGGG